UACGAAGGGGGCUAGCGUUGCUCGGAAUCACUGGGCGUAAAGCGCACGUAGGCGGAUUGCUAAGUCAGGGGUGAAAUCCUGGAGCUCAGCUCCAGAACUGCCUUUGAUACUGGCGGUCUCGAGUCCGGGAGAGGUGAGUGGAACUGCGAGUGUAGAGGUGAAAUUCGUAGAUAUUCGCAAGAACACCAGUGGCGAAGGCGGCUCACUGGCCCGGUACUGACGCUGAGGUGCGAAAGCGUGGGGAGCAAACAGG
rnacentral:rRNA from 1 species